rnacentral:lncRNA from 13 species
AUUACUUACACAUUUCCCUUUGUAAAUAGGUUCCCAUGGGUGAAUUUGGUGUUGUGGCAAGAUUUGAAACUGUCUAACCUGAUAGAGGUGAACAGAACCUGCUGGACUGUCUGCCUCUGACUAUGGGGGAAGCUCUCAGCUUAGAAGUUCUGAGGUCCAAAGGCAGGCUGACACAGAACCCACAUCUUAACACAGGAGAUUCCAGGGAGUCACACAAAUGACCCCAUGGAGGGUCAAGCUGGAAGAGGAAUGGGAAGGUGAAAUAGGAGAGAAUGAGGCAGAGGUUGAGAAGAUACACAGCAGAAAGACAAGCUUUCAUGGAGCUUCACAGUGCACAUCUGCAUUUAGACCACAAACAGCGAUGGUGCUAGAAUUUCCACUCUCUGAGGUUUUUGGUCACUCAAGAAAGGACAAGAGAGAAAUUUGCCAUCAAAUGAGUACUUUCUUCACCAGAGAUAGAAGUGGAAGACCCUCAACAAGACAGCACAGACGAGGUUUUUCUGGAAGUGAUAAGGAUCUGAAUCUGCAGACAGAGUAA